ensembl:snRNA U6 U6 spliceosomal RNA
GUGCUUGCCUCAGCAGCACACAUACUAAGAUCGGAAUAAUACAGAGAAGUAUAGCAUGACCCCUGCACAAGGAUGACUUACAAAAUUUGUAAGAUGGAUGGUGGUGAU